CCCAGUCCUUGUGCUAAUGUGCUUCGUGCGUUCUCGUUGCGUAGCCCAACUCCCCCUCUUCUCUCCUCCUCCUCGCCAAAAUCCCUCAAUAAGAUCAAAACAUCAUUCCGUCCGAAAUCGGUCAAAAAUGAGCACUUGAGAUACUUUAUUCUCAAAUGCUGAGGCUAUUGGCAGGGAAUUUUUUUAAUCCAAUCUUUUGGGCUAGCGGACUAUGGAUUAUUUAAAUUAGGCAAGGCAAUGAUAAGCGCAUUAAUUUUGUUCUGGUGCUUUGUCGCGGCAAUAAUGAAAAUGCAGUGGUUUUUGGGAAACUUGAGUUGGAUUGUGGAGAUUAGCGAAGAUUACGUAGCACUGAAGUCCUGCACUGGUGAGGAUAUGGAAGCGAUUCUUGCAAUGUUGCUGAAUGUUGGCAGGGAAACCCUUUAUAUCGUUUAUCAUGGUGAUAUACAAAUAAUGGGCAGAUUAGCAGGAAGAUAAAUAAUAUGAUCCAGUAUCAAAAAGUCUUCCAAAAGAGCCAGAAUGAUGCUAUAAUCUUCAUUCCUGCAGCGAAUGGAAACUGAAUAAGCAGAAGCUAUCCAGAUUUUGAAUACCAAGAAUUCAGCGAGUGUAGUUGAUUAUUAACUCAACUAUCACUUGACUAGGUAUCCUGUAAUAAUUAAAUGUCGUAUAAGUGUACGUGUAGUAUUUCACAUUUGUCUUGUAUUCCUAUUACUUGGAUGUUCACCUUUUUAUCCCAGGUAGCAAGUUUCAAUGAUGAAGAAUUGAGUUGGAUCGUA